GCCGAGUUCGCGCCAUUGUACUCUAGCCUGGCUACAGAAUGAGACUGUCUCAAACAACAACAACAACAAACCAAACACAAUAAAUAGCAAAGGGACCUUUUCUGACUUUUAGCUAAGUCUUAGUAUGUGUGUGUGUGUUGUUUCCUGGAGGUGAAUCCUAAUUUCUUGUUAUCUAACAAUGUGACUUCCAGGUACCAUUAUUGUCAGCUUUCUGCCUUCUUCACCAGAAACCACCUAAUGAGCCACAGCGAGUGAAGGUGAUAUCCUAGAUGAUGACACCUACUUGAAUAUAUCUCCCUGAAGCCCAGUCGCUCAAGUACAGAAGGUUGGCAUUGUAUCAACCCACCUGCUUCUGGAAGAGAGAGAGGAAAAAAAUCAGAAUCACUCAACCUGCAGAUUGCUGUCAGCUUGUGAUUAUGUGAAUGAAAUCCUGAAGACAUAUUCAGUGUUGUUGAACAGCUUCUGAGCACAUCCCUUGAAGUUAAAUGUCUCGACACACAGAUGAAGAGAGAGCCUGAAAGUGUACAUCUAGUGGUGCACCACCUUCUGGAGAAACCAAGGGCUUUGUUACAGUAAACUGGUCCAGUGUGAUAUUACAAGUAU